UACGUAGGGGGCAAGCGUUGUCCGGAUUUAUUGGGCGUAAAGGGUGCGUAGGCGGCCCCGUAAGUCCGCUGUGAAAGUCAAAGGCUCAACCUUUGAAAGCCGGUGGAUACUGUGGGGCUAGAGUCCGGAAGAGGCGAGUGGAAUUCCUGGUGUAGCGGUGGAAUGCGCAGAUAUCAGGAGGAACACCAAUAGCGAAGGCAGCUCGCUGGGACGGUACUGACGCUAAGGCGCGAAAGCGUGGGGAGCGAACAGG
rnacentral:rRNA from 1 species